UUUUAUUAAUUAUUUUCCAUGAAAACAUGAUUGGAAAUAAUAUAUGAAGUGAUAAUUGAAAUUAUAUAAUAAAUAUUUUAUUAUAUGAUUUGUUCAGAAUAAUUAAGUUAACUAUUUUAACUUGAUUACUGAUGUUGUGUAAGAAAGAGAAGUCAGAUAUGAGAUCCAAACCCUGAAUUGGGAUUGUGAUCAAGAGAUGAGAAUAAUAAUAUUAUAUUAUUGUUAUAAUGAUU
rnacentral:lncRNA from 1 species